ACUUUUAAUGGACGGCAGCAGUCCGAUGGUCUUAGGAGCCACAAUCU
rnacentral:tRNA from 1 species